rnacentral:rRNA from 1 species
ACUCAAAUGAAUAGACGGGGACCCGCACAAGCGGUGGAGCAUGUGGUUUAAUUCGAAGCAACGCGAAGAACCUUACCAGGUCUUGACAUGCGGGUGUUAUUCUUAGAGAUAAGAAGUUCCUUCGGGACACCCGACACAGGUGGUGCAUGGUUGUCGUCAGCUCGUGUCGUGAGAUGUUGGGUUAAGUCCCGCAACGAGCGCAACCCUUAUGUUUAGUUGCCAUCAUUCAGUUGGGCACUCUAGACAGACUGCCGGUGAUAAACCGGAGGAAGGUGGGGAUGACGUCAAAUCAUCAUGCCCCUUAUGACCUGGGCUACACACGUGCUACAAUGGCAAGUACAACGAGCAGCGAGCCGGCGACGGUAAGCGAAUCUCUUAAAACUUGUCCCAGUUCGGAUUGUAGGCUGCAACUCGCCUACAUGAAGUCGGAAUCGCUAGUAAUCGCGGAUCAGCACGCCGCGGUGAAUACGUUCCCGGGUCUUGCACACACCGCCCGU